AACGUAGGUACCGAGCGUUAUCCGGAUUUACUGGGCGUAAAGCGCGUUCAGGCGGUUUGGCAAGUCGGGCAUGAAAUCUCUCGGCUCAACCGGGAGAGGUUGUCCGAUACUGCGUGGACUGAGGGCAGUAGAGGGUGGUGGAAUUCCGGGUGUAGUGGUGAAAUGCGUAGAUAUCCGGAGGAACACCAGUGGCGAAAGCGGCCACCUGGACUGCACCUGACGCUGACACGCGAAAGCUAGGGGAGCGAACGGG
rnacentral:rRNA from 1 species